GAUGAACGCUAGCUACAGGCUUAACACAUGCAAGUCGAGGGGCAGCAUGUUGGUUGCUUGCAACCAAUGAUGGCGACCGGCGCACGGGUGAGUAACGCGUAUCCAACCUACCCAAUACUCAGGCAUAACCCGUUGAAAGACGGACUAAUUCCUGAUGGUAUGUAUUUUUCUCAUGAAUUAUACAUUAAAGAAUUUCGGUAUUGGAUGGGGAUGCGUCUGAUUAGUUAGUUGGUGAGGUAACGGCUCACCAAGACUUCGAUCAGUAGGGGUUCUGAGAGGAAGGUCCCCCACAUUGGAACUGAGACACGGUCCAAACUCCUACGGGAGGCAGCAGUGAGGAAUAUUGGUCAAUGGAUGAAAAUCUGAACCAGCCAAGUAGCGUGCAGGAUGACGGCCCUAUGGGUUGUAAACUGCUUUUAUGUGAGAAUAAAGUUAGGUAUGUAUACUUAUUUGCAUGUAUCACAUGAAUAAGGACCGGCUAAUUCCGUGCCAGCAGCCGCGGUAAUACGGAAGGUCCAGGUGUUAUCCGGAUUUAUUGGGUUUAAAGGGUGCGUAGGCCGUUUGAUAAGCGUGCUGUGAAAUAUAGUGGCUCAACCUCUAUCGUGCAGCGCGAACUGUUGAACUUGAGUGCGUAGUAGGUAGGCGGAAUUCGUGGUGUAGCGGUGAAAUGCUUAGAUAUCACGAAGAACUCCGAUUGCGAAGGCAGCUUACCGUAACGUUACUGACGCUUAAGCACGAAGGUGCGGGUAUCGAACAGG
rnacentral:rRNA from 1 species